UCAAUCUGCACUUCACUCAAAGCCUCUGGGUACGGGCCACUCACUCACUGGUCCUGGCUCCAAAAUAACUCAGCAGAAACGAGUUUCCAACUAAAAAUCCCCUCGAAUGUCUCCCAGGGAAGAAAUAUAGCUCCUAUAAUUAAAGGAGGCAACGGCCAGAGGGGGAAUGCAGCCGGCAGCCAAAAAAGAAAAAUUCAGUUUUGAGGAAUUUUCACCUAGAGGAAUCCAAGAUCUUCAGUCCAAACAGCAAUUUCUGGGGUGGUAGAUGAUGGGGGGAGGAGUGACAGAGGGAUUGCAACUAGCUGAACAUUUCAGAAAGAACAGUCACAAAAAUGAGAUGUGAUGGUCCUGGGUAGUGUUCUGUGACAAGCAGAGGUUUACGGCUUUUAGGUACAAGAGCAGGUAAAUGUGUUCAGUUUGGGAUUCAACCUUAGUUAAAAACUUAGGGGAACUGGUUUUUCACUUGAAGAAAUAAGAACAUUUUAGGAAAUUUCUGAUGCCUGACCUAAAGACUUCUCAUCCUUCUUCAGAGAGAGAAUAAAACACUUCAAAACUAUGUAAUUCUUGGAAAAAAUUUUCCCUUAAAGAUUUAUUUUUUCCUGUUGUUUUUGUUGAUGACAGUAAAUUGCCUGAGAAGCUGACAGAUCACUUCAAAUAAAAGGCACUGUAUUAUAUGCUCUUAAAUGAAAUUCAUAUCUGUUCUUUUGCAGAAUUAAAUCAUGCACCUAGUAUAUUCCUUAAUAAUCUAGGUAAAGGUAUAUUUUCCAGGAUUUUAGUAACUCCACAAAAAGUCUCUCUCUGCAUGUGUCUUUUUGCCUUAUAGUGUUUCAAAUUUGGCAGACUGCCUACAAACUAAAGAUACCAACAGUUUAAAUAAUUUUUUAUUUAAUGAAAUAAAGCCAACCUUACACACAAAUGCACAUUACAUACAGAUAAUUUACGGGUUUGAUGAACUUCAAGCAUUAAAAAUAUUUAUUAUAAUGCCUUGCAGAUUUGAAGAUGAAAAAAUUAUUUAACAGAAGUUUCCAAACAUUCAUGGUAACCAACAUAUACAGAACGCCUACUAUAUUACACGCAUUGAAAAGACAUAGACAUAUUAUAUAUGUUGUCUAUUUCAGGUGAAAUGGACAGGAAUGGGCAUAUGCACCUCAGAAUGAAUAUGUAUGUGUGUAUGAAACAUAUACAUAUUUUUGAAUUAGGUGAGUUUUUCUUUUUUUAAACCCUGAGUAACUCUAAAGAAGGAAAUAAACUUUAUACUCAAUUAUAGUUAAUAGAACUUCAUUUUGGCUAAUCAUAAUUUGACCACUGAUUUUUCUCCUCAGAGCAUGAAGCACAGUGCUUAAUUUAUAAGUUUAGUGCACCCAAAAUGCUGCUCUUCUUAAGCCACUUUGAAGUAAUGCUAGUGAGUCUACGAUCCAGAUCUACAUGUUAAUCUUUAGUUUUGCCUUCAAACAGAAUUCAGUUACAAAGAACUUGGAAAGAUUUUGAAUCUAUUCAGGAGAGAAAAACUCUUUAAUUUUCUGAGGAGUAAAAACUCCCCAAGAAACUUCAUAUAGCUUCUUAGAUUUUGCUUAGCAUACGUGAUAAAACAUUGAUUGUUGCAGUUUGGUGACCCAUGAAAUUUGGGGGUUAGUUUUCUCUUCAGACCAGAGCAUAUAAUUAUGCAAAUAAAGAGCUGUCACUGAUCUAGUGAAAUACUCACAAACACAUGCACUCUGAAAUUGGACAGAAAAGUGAAAAUGGUUGGUGAUGUGAUGGUGCCAUGGUUUGUUUUCCUGCCAAGUUUCUAUCUAAAUUCAUUAUUCAAGUAGUAAACUUUAAAAAGAGACAUAUCAUU